GACGAACGCUGGCGGCGUGCUUAACACAUGCAAGUCGAACGGAAAGGCACUGCUUUUGUGGGGUGCACGAGUGGCGAACGGGUGAGUAACACGUGAGUAACCUGCCCUUGACUUUGGGAUAACUUCAGGAAACUGGGGCUAAUACCGGAUAGGAGCUGCUGCUGCAUGGUGGGGGUUGGAAAGUUUCGGCGGUUGGGGAUGGACUCGCGGCUUAUCAGCUUGUUGGUGGGGUAGUGGCUUACCAAGGCUUUGAUGGGUAGCCGGCCUGAGAGGGUGACCGGCCACAUUGGGACUGAGAUACGGCCCAGACUCCUACGGGAGGCAGCAGUGGGGAAUAUUGCACAAUGGGCGGAAGCCUGAUGCAGCAACGCCGCGUGCGGGAUGACGGCCUUCGGGUUGUAAACCGCUUUCGCCUGUGACGAAGCGUGAGUGACGGUAAUGGGUAAAGAAGCACCGGCUAACUACGUGCCAACCGCCGCGGUAA
rnacentral:rRNA from 1 species